rnacentral:ncRNA from 1 species
UACUUUUCCGAGCUGUCUUAUUCUAAGGGAGUUUCCUAUGAAAGCACAGCCAAUGGGUAUAAAAAGAAAUUUUUAUGCCUCCCACUCUUGGAAAGGAAAAGG